rnacentral:rRNA from 1 species
AGCGAACGCUGGCGGCAGGCUUAACACAUGCAAGUCGAGCGGGCAUAGCAAUAUGUCAGCGGCAGACGGGUGAGUAACGCGUGGGAACGUACCUUUUGGUUCGGAACAACUGAGGGAAACUUCAGCUAAUACCGGAUAAGCCCUUACGGGGAAAGAUUUAUCGCCGAAAGAUCGGCCCGCGUCUGAUUAGCUAGUUGGUGAGGUAAUGGCUCACCAAGGCGACGAUCAGUAGCUGGUCUGAGAGGAUGAUCAGCCACAUUGGGACUGAGACACGGCCCAAACUCCUACGGGAGGCAGCAGUGGGGAAUAUUGGACAAUGGGCGCAAGCCUGAUCCAGCCAUGCCGCGUGAGUGAUGAAGGCCCUAGGGUUGUAAAGCUCUUUUGUGCGGGAAGAUAAUGACGGUACCGCAAGAAUAAGCCCCGGCUAACUUCGUGCCAGCAGCCGCGGUAAUACGAAGGGGGCUAGCGUUGCUCGGAAUCACUGGGCGUAAAGGGUGCGUAGGCGGGUCUUUAAGUCAGGGGUGAAAUCCUGGAGCUCAACUCCAGAACUGCCUUUGAUACUGAAGAUCUUGAGUUCGGGAGAGGUGAGUGGAACUGCGAGUGUAGAGGUGAAAUUCGUAGAUAUUCGCAAGAACACCAGUGGCGAAGGCGGCUCACUGGCCCGAUACUGACGCUGAGGCACGAAAGCGUGGGGAGCGAACAGG